rnacentral:rRNA from 1 species
GUGUCAGCAGCCGCGGUAAUACAGAGGGUGCAAGCGUUGUUCGGAAUUAUUGGGCGUAAAGCGCGUGUAGGCGGCUUUGCAAGUCGGGUGUGAAAGCCCUCAGCUCAACUGAGGAAGUGCGCCCGAAACUGCAGAGCUUGAGUGCCGGAGAGGGUGGCGGAAUUCCCCAAGUAGAGGUGAAAUUCGUAGAUAUGGGGAGGAACACCGGUGGCGAAGGCGGCCACCUGGACGGUAACUGACGCUGAGACGCGAAAGCGUGGGGAGCAAACAGGAUUAGAUACCCUGGUAGUCCACGCCGUAAACGAUGAGAACUAGGUGUCGUGGGAGUUGACCCCCGCGGUGCCGUAGCUAACGCAUUAAGUUCUCCGCCUGGGAAGUACGGUCGCAAGACUAAA